UUGUUUGAACAUCGAGAUGGACUUUUAACGAUAGAGGCAGGUGAUCGGUACAAGCGGGCGCUAUAUAUAUCUAUAUAUAUAUAUAGAUAUAUAUGAAACUAUGCAAUUACGAGAAUGACAAUAAACUGUAUGUAGACGGAGGUUUGUAAACAGAAGAAGUCUGUAAGGGGCUUAUUCGAAAACGAGUUGAAGAAAGGAGAAAAAAAAGUUACAUGCUCAUUUUCAUUUCACCUUUCAGACCUACGAUUCUUGGUGUAACUUUUUAGAUAUUACACUUUGGAGCAAAAAAAAAAGCUGACCGCGAACGUGCGAUGAUAACUUAGAUAUUUUUAUUUUCAAAUAGUUUGCUGGCCAUACGAAGGACAUAAAGAUGGAACUGCUCCUGUGUCCCGCUUGUCGGUUCCGUUUGGGCGAGCCCGUAACGGUGUGCUGCGGUCACACUUUCUGUAAGCGCUGCACGGAUAAGACGCUCCGGUCCAGGUGUCCAGUCUGCGCUGAGACCCUGACGUGGUGGGACGUGAGAAGCCCAAAAAACUGCGUGGUGCUCAGCGACAUCCUGGAGAAAUGUAGUCCAGAAGGACCUGACCUAAAAGAGAACAAGUGCCGAGCUGGGGACUGCCUGCAAAGGGGGGAUUUUCAGAACACCCUGCUGUAUACAGAUAAAGGCUUGCGGCAAGCACCUUACGAUGCCAGUCUGUGGAUAUUAAAGGGUGAGGCCUACAUGGGCAAGCAGCUAUAUUCCAAAGCACUGGAACUCUUCACUUCUCUUUUAACUGGAAGACCUUUGUGGAUGGAGGGAUUUUUUGAAAAAGGGAAAAUCUUUUGGCAAAUUGGACAGAAUGUAGAUGCUUUGCUUCAGUAUCGUCAUUGUCUGAUGUUGGACCCUGAAUAUCAACCUGUAAAGGAGGAGAUUCAUAAAAUUUUGCACAAUGAGAUGUCUCCUUUUCCUGAAAACAAUGAAGAGCUGCUCAGAGUCCUAUCUGUGUACAUAAGAAAAUUUCACUCCGAAACUGAGGCUUCCACCAGUGGAAACAAGUCUUGUUUUUCUAAGCCCUUGGGUGCAGAGCAGAAGCACCAAUUACAGCUUUCAUUCUCACAAAAUGAGGUGGCAGAAGAGGGGGAUAUACAACAUGUGCCACUGGAGAGCUUUGAUACGAAUGAUCAAGAGGUUUUCAAACAGAUGGAGGAUUCUCUUCUUAGAAGUAUAAUUCUAUCAGAUUUGGAAUGCCCCCUCUGUAUAAGGUUGUUUUAUGAGCCGGUCACGACUCCCUGUGGACACACAUUCUGUAAGAGCUGCAUUGAGCGAAGCUUGGACCAUAAUGUGCGCUGCCCACUUUGUAAACAGAACCUCAGAGAGUACCUCAAAAACAGGAAAUAUAACCGCACCCUUUUACUAGAGGAAAUAAUGUCCAGAAGCUUCCCAUUGCAGCUGGAAGAGAGGAGGCAGGUGCAUGAAGCAGAAAUUGCUGAACUUUCAAAUUUAACAAAGAAUAUUCCAAUCUUUGUGUGCACUAUGGCCUACCCUGGAAUCCCCUGCCCUCUUCAUAUAUUUGAGCCUCGAUACCGCUUAAUGAUGCGCAGAUGUAUGGAAACUGGGACAAAACGGUUUGGGAUGUGCACGUAUCAGCACGGAAAAGGGUUUGCCGAAUAUGGAUGCAUGUUGGAGAUUCAAAGUUUUAAUGUGCUCCCUGAUGGGAGAUCCUAUGUGGAUACAGUAGGAGGGAGUCGUUUCCGUGUGCUUCGCCGAGGACAGAGGGAUGGAUAUCACACGGCUGAUGUAGAAUAUCUGGAAGAUCAAAAAGUGGAAGGAGAGGAUCUAGCAGAUUUGCAGUCCAUUCAUGAUGAAGUCUACCAUCAGGCACAGGAGUGGUACAGCAGUCUGCCUGGUCGGAUCCAAAGCCAGAUUAUUCUUCAACAAGGACAGAUGCCUGAAACAGAGGAGGACAUACAAGCAUCUUCAAACGGUCCACUGUGGUGCUGGUGGCUCCUUUCAGUUCUGCAACUAGAACCAGCUUAUCAAAUCAAAGUUCUGUCAUUGACAUCCUUGAAAGACAGACUCUGCCACCUGCGUGCCAUCCUGGAGAUUCUCUCAAAGAACUGAUUUUUUAUGAGGUUCUAUGAAAGGAGUUUGUGUAUAAGGAGUGUUGCAUCUGUAGCCAAGUUUAUGUAUGAUAUGACUGUUACCAGAUUUUUAUUAGUUUUAGACAAUAUGCUGAUGGCAUCAUUUUUCAGUCAUGCAUAAAUGAGUACUCCUUUCUGCAAAAUUUUGAGCAAAUCUGCUGUCCCUUAAAUUUACACUCAAAAAUAUUUAUCUGAUUAAGAACGUAUGAUAUAAUUGUCAAUUAUCAUGUACUCUUCAUUGUUUGUCAUUAUAUUGUUAAACAUUUAAUGUUACUGGUUAAACAUUCAUAUUUGUUGUCCGAAAUAAUUUGUUUUUUGAACUUGUCUUUUUCAUUUCUGAAAUACCAUAGUGUUGUACCGCGUUAGCCAUUAUGAAUGUAGUGAGAAGUCAAGCAAAAUGAAGAAGGGGCCUCAGUUGCCUCGAAAUCUUGCAUAUUGUAAUCUUUUUAGUUAGCCAAUAAAAGGUGUCAUUUUGCUUAACUUUUCACUACAUUCACGUCUGAAAUAACAUCCGUCUUUGAAAGCCAAUGAAAAAGUAUCAUAUUUGUAAAUUUACAAGCAAUUAGGCACUCGAGUAGAAAUCAUUCAGGUCCAGCAGGUCUAAACUUGAGAAAACGUGUCACCUGGGUUUGAAUCAUCAGUAACGCGUAGUCGUUUUGACCUCUAUGAAUGUGUUAUGGUGUAAAUUCCAGAAGCUUUCUGUCUCCUUUCAGCAGAAUUACUGAAUACGUCUUAAGUGAAGGUUUCUUGAGGGCUCAAAUCUUUUGAAGAAAUAUCUACUUAAAAGUACUGCUUCAGACUAAGUGGCACAUUAAGGAGCUUUGAAAGGGAUUACACUUUACAGUGAUAUGCAAGUGCAGAAAAUGAUACCGCUUUAACCUCUUUUAAAAAGAUUUAUUCUACAGAAAGGGGAAUUCAGGUAUGCCAUUACUGUUCUCCAUGUGAAAACGCAAGCAGCAAAUGAAUGUCUAGCGGGGAGGAUUCAUCUUCUUCCUGUCUCUGCUGAUGCGCUCAAUAUCCAUUGUGGACAAAUGGCACAUCAAAUGUGCAUUUGGUCAUUUUAUUUGUAGCAGAGGUACUUUCAGAAACAAAUUGAAAACACUACUGUGGUUGGAAAUCAUUUUCAUUUAAAAAUGCUAUUUUUCAAAUAAAAAUGUACUAUUGUGGGCAUAGCCUUUGUGACUGAUUGUAUGAGGCUCUUACCAAAGUUCUGUCAUUUUUGGUUUUCGAUGGCACCUUUCCAACCUGUCAUCUAGGUGCCUUAAAUAGUAAACAAGAAUGUGAUAUAUAAGCAAUACAAAAUAAAUUAAAUGGUAGUCUGAGGUGUCACUAACAAAUACGUAAAUUUUGCAUCAAAGGCAGCAAGCUGACCGAAGUCCUGUAUUGACUGUUUCUUUCUUGAAUAUACAGCUGCUGUAGUUUGGAUUUCACCAUGUUUUAAGGUAAACUUUAAUGUUAAUUCUGAUAGAAAUCAUUUUGACAAUUUUUUAACAAGUAAAUACUAUUGCGUAUAUAGUUUUAUAUCUCUCUUCCCGAUGUUAGAUUUAUAGUCAGAUCAGUUUAAACAUUAGUGCGUUUACAUGCACACACAUAAGCGCGGGGUAAAGUGAAUAAUCCGGUUAAGGGAGAAACCUGAUUUCUUCAUAACUUGUGUUUACAUGUCUUCUGGAGUUCUCCUUUGUCAAAACGUUCCAACGUCAUCAAACUGCACAAAAAGAGUAAAAUGCCAUCAUUGACUUCCGUGAUUCCAAACAUCAGCAAGUGAUAAUUUUCUUGUGUUUUAUAGAUGUGUUUAGUCAGAUAGGCCUUUUAUUUACAAGUUUCUGUUACCAGAUUGCACAAAGCAAACUUGUUUCUGCUCGGCUGUGUGAUUGAGCCCUGCAAAGGACCAGGGGCCUCAUGUAUAAUGGCGUGCGUAGAACUCACACUAUAACAUGGCGUAAGCACAAAAGCGGAAAUGUGUGUACGCACAAAAAAAUCCAGAUGCAUAAAUCUGUGUGAAUGCCAACUUCCACGUUCUUCCGCUCCAUAAAUCCUGAUCAGCAUGAAAAGUAUCUCACGUGCACACGCCUACUGUCCCGCCCCAACUCCUCCCAGAAUUACGCCUCUUUGAAUAUGCAAAUCAAUAUAAAUAGCCCUUAAGCGCAGCCUUCUGUGAAAAGACAAUAGCAAAAGUACGAGGGAAAAUAGAAGAAUUUCAGCGAAUACCAAAUGGAGGCAAAGAAAAACAUACUAUUUGUUGGUUUAAACAGUGGUAUAAACAACAAAAGGAAGUGACAUAGCGUGUCAGAGAAACUCGAAAGCUCAACUUUACAAAGUCGCACAGAGCCCGAAAUAAAAAAGAAGUUGUCACAUAUCAAAGUCGCCAUGAAAAGGCGAGUCGUAGCCCACCGUCUGAGUGUCAUAUGAAAGUUUAUUAGGGUACAGAGAAAAAAAAAAGGCACACAGUGGGAAAAAAGCACGAAAUGUCAACUUUAAUCUCGAAAUUUCCACUUUAAUCACGUAGUUUAUUUUGUCAUUAAAGCAGAACAUCAUAAACUUCAUCUUAAAAUCGUUUAGUUACGAUGGGAUUUGAGAAACUAUUAAAUUAAUGUAGCACGUUAAAUGCUAUGUUUUGUAUUUGAUCUUCUCUGUACUCUAUGUGCGUGGAUCACUAUGUGCUUCCGGGCUUUCUCUUCCUCCGACAGGACACAGAAUCCAUUACAUUCAUAAUAUUCCAGCUCUGUGAAUAAUUAAAAUGCUGAAAAGUAUGCGUGAUAUCAUUUUCAUGAUGAUAGGAGUUAAAGCAUGUUAUUAAACAUGGGAACACGGUGGCGCAGUGAUUUUUCAUGUCUCACGCAUGAUGCUUGCUGCGCCGUGCGCGACCUUCGAUGAAAUACUUUAUUACAGAAAUACUGUCUCUUUCAAAUGUACUAACCCCCAAUUCCUGUCCUUACUUUUGUUUCUCCAAAUACCAAAGUCCCCACACAAUCAGCUCUGUAAUAGACGUUAAGCCAUCUGUAAGCUUAGAAUGCUGAUUCUUCAAAACUUUUAAGGAACAUUGAAAUAUCUUCGUAAUGUUUAAUUAUUCUAUCCAUCUAUCCUUCCAGUGUUGCGCCAGCCACAGCAAGAAUACAACGCGAGGCAGGAACAAUCCGUGAACAAAGCUCCAGCUCCUUGCUAGCGCUGCGGCACCAUGUAGUUAAAGUUAAAGUUUUAUCUAAUAAACAUAUUUUCAGCAUUUCAUCUUAAUAAUGAUAUCGUCAUCAUAUGUAAAUACGCGCUUUAUAAAGUGGCUCAGGUUGUGCAAUAUUAUAACUGUAUCGCAAGUUUACAGUGAGGUAAUUGUACUUACAAGUACAAACAGUUCUAUAAGGAGCACUUGAUGGACUGAAUGAGUGUGUUUAUAUCUCUUGGGAUGGAACUGUUUCUGAAGCACGAGGUCCGCACAGGAUAGGUUCUGAAGCGUUUGUCGGAUGAGAGCAGUUCAAAUAGCGAAUGGCUGAGGCAGCGUGUGCUUGAUGCUGUAUACCGAUAAUUCUCUUUCCGAUCAGCUGCUGUACAGCUGUGAUUCACACUCAGAUACAGUGAUAUAAAUACUCCGAGUGGUGCAGUGAGAGUAAUAUGGAAAAAGAUGAUCCGCUGUGGCAGCCACUAAUGGGAGAAGCAGAAAGAAGAAGAAGAAGGUGCAGUGAGAGUAACAAUGCUAAAGCAGUUAUGGUAUUUGGAAUAGUUUGACCAUUCUGUGGACCAUUAUGUUGUUACAGGUUAAUUACAAUCAGAUGCAUUAAACUUAUAAACAAUAUGCGGUUAAUUUCAGUGUAUUUAUAAAGCCGCGUCAGGGAUGUGGAUGUAAAACAAGAAAGGGAAACCACAAAGGAGCAGUAGCACUGCUUUGAUGCUGGGUGCUGCCAGUCUGCAAAACCGAACGAAGAACUUGCGUACGCCAGGGUAUGAACUACCGUGGAAAUGUGUGUGGCUUUAAGCCAAGUUUGGGUUUUAUACAUCGCGAUUUGACCGUGGAAACAUUUGUACGCAACAUUUCUGUGCAUACGCACCAUUUAUACAUGAGGCCCCAGGAUAUCUUCUUGCCUUACAACCCAGUACUGCCGGAAUAACAACAGGUAUUUUUACUUCGAUAAGAGAAGUAUUGCAGUAGGUUGCUCGUUACUUUCAAAAGUAAUCGGACUAUGCAGCGCACAUUACUUUUAACGUGUCACCCUACUGCUCUCAAGAUUAUGUUGCAGAGUUUAGCACUGUACAUUCAUCUCAUCAACAUAAAUUGAGAAAUUUUUGAUUUAUUGAGACAGAUUGUUUCAGCCAGGAAAAGGAAUUGUGCGAUCACCUGAACAUUUUCCUCUGGAAAAGCAUUUUGUGGACACUUCUAUGUGUUGAUGCUUGAUGAAUGUGUGAAGCAAAUACACGUGCAGGCAGACAGAGAGAAACAGACAUGUGCAGACUACAAAAUCCUUAAUGGAAACCCAGUUAAGGGUUUACAUGGCCGCAUGAUCGAGGUAAUUAUGGAGAAAUCUACCUCUGUUAACCCCACUUCUCUAACCAGAAUAAGGGUUUCUGUGAAUAACCUAAUUAGUUAUCGGAACACAUUUAAAUGUGCUAAGUGAUGUAUUUCUCCCCAUCCAGAAUUAAUUCAUGUUUUUGUGCCUAGCACUUCUGGAAUAGGGAUCAGCUUGCACUGACCUCGAACUGGACAGUUCUUUAGAAAAACAACUGGAAAUUUUAAAGGGAUUAAUACACCUUAGAUCUUCUCACUAACAGACAGAGGUACAGUUGCCUGUUUUUAAACCUUAUGUUGCCAGAAAUUGUUAAUAAGAGUUGCCUAAGCCUUAUCAUAAUGAGAUCAUUUUCAAACUGUUUUUCCCUUAUAUUUUAGCUGAUCAUGUGUAUUACCUGCCGUGUUUAUGUAAUUAAGUAUUUAAAAAUUAGGAAAUAUUGCAUAUGGAAGGAAGCAGGUUAGUUCUUCACACUUGCCUGGUUAGUCAGUAGUAGUUUCAUGAAUGUAGUAGUUUAGCUGACCAAUUGUGUCAUCAAAAUGUAUGUGGUGUGGGUUUUUUUUAUUAUUGUUAUUAUUUUUUAAAUCAAUCAGGAUUUCUGUUUCAACUACAUGCCUUAAUGGCCUUGUCCUAAUUACUACAGAUCUUUGUACAUGUAAGUGCUUCCUCAUUCGUGAUGUUCUUUCCAUUACCAUAAUUACUACUGACUUCCUCGAGUUCAUGCAGGAGCCUUCUGCCUUGGUGUAAAAUACUUUUUUACACAGUGACAGACUGUGUUAAAUGAUCUAGGAGUACCGCAGUUGUUUAUAAUGUUUUAAAGGAGAAUUGAAUUAGCUGUUUUGAGUCCUCAUUUGAAUAAAUUCACUAUGUGCUGCUCUUUUAUUUUAUUCUCUAAUGCAUUAACCCUCAUUGUUCGUUUGUCUCAGUAAUGCUAAAUAUAUAUUUUUUUCUCAUUUGUGCAAUUUUUAAAAACUUUUGUUUUUAAAGUGGUAUGUCUCUGUUCCUUGACCCCCACAGCUGUCUUAACUUGGUUAUUUAGUGCAAAAAUUGUAAUUCAGAUUUUCAAAGCAAUAGUAGAGACAUGUAUUUGCUAAAAUACCAUGUUUUGACUUGUAAAGGGUUAACUGUAAAAAAAUAAAUUAUAUAUACAAGAUAUCCAUCCAUCCAUCCAUUU